AAUUUUAAAUACUUAAUAUUUAAUAACAUUAUUUUAAUAGACAAUUUCGUUGAGAAUUUAGUCACAAAUAAAUAUUUGAUUGUUCAUUCUCUUAAGGAUGGUGGAUCGUAGGCAACCUUGGGUAAUAGUGCAUUUUUAGGGAUUCUAGUAGAUUCUAAUUAUAAUUGGUAGUUAUCUCUUAUCUAUGGUGGUAGUUGCGGUUUCCGGAAUGUAUUAUUUCUGCCUAUGGAAAUGUAUUACCAGUGAAAACUGAAUUCAAUAGGUAUAAAACGUGUGUGCAACGUGUGUAGUUCACGCAGAUUUCGGACUGUUGUCUCAUUUGAGAACACCCCGGGUUACUUGUCGGCACUUUCGUGAUUAGUGCACCGAAAACCCCCGUUAAAGGUGAUAAAGGUCUUACUUCUUGCCCUUUCGUUGAUAUUCGUGAAUUACAACUCUUAAAAAGUGAAUUAACUUUUGUCGCGAUUUGUGUUGUGCUUGGUGGGACAACAGAUUUACUUCGACUUCUGAGUCGGUGAGUUUUUAUGUUAUUUAGUACUCACUGUUCUGAUUUUUCUUGUAAUAUUGAUUUAUGUUUUGAAUGAAAUGAUAUUCAACAGAUUAUACGUAGAUAUAUAACAUCAAAAUAAUUAAUGAAAAAUCAAUUUACAUUCCAAAGGCAUUUUAAAGUAGUUGUGUAUCGAUGUUCAUCUUUGACCUUUUGUUUGUAAAAAUAUCCGUAAAGCACAAAUAUGCUUGUGAAAAAAAGAAGUUGAAAACUUAAUUUCUGAAAUUAUCCAAAAACGCUGUUAAGUUUACCGCAAAAAUUUAUGACUAGAAAUAGUGAAAGAUGAGAGCCUCCAUCAAAGAUUGCUUUAGAUUUUCUUUUUUGAAAGUAAAAUUAUUUAUAUAUUAUUUUAAUUUAAUUGGAAGUCUUUUUUCCAUUGAUUUGGUUUUAACUAUUGAUUAGUAAUAAAGUUGUCAUUUCACCGUACUACCUUAAAGAAUGUUUCAGGAAAUUUAUUGAAAAUAACUCUACUUACUUAUAUUUCCGGGUCUUCUACCGAUAAAUUAUUUGAAAAUCGUUUACAGGAUGAUGAAAAUUUU